rnacentral:rRNA from 1 species
AACGAACGCUGGCGGCAGGCUUAACACAUGCAAGUCGAGCGCCCCGCAAGGGGAGCGGCAGACGGGUGAGUAACGCGUGGGAAUGUACCCUUUGCUACGGAAUAGCUCCGGGAAACUGGAAUUAAUACCGUAUGUGCCCUUCGGGGGAAAGAUUUAUCGGCAAAGGAUCAGCCCGCGUUGGAUUAGCUAGUUGGUGGGGUAAAGGCCUACCAAGGCGACGAUCCAUAGCUGGUCUGAGAGGAUGAUCAGCCACAUUGGGACUGAGACACGGCCCAAACUCCGACGGGAGGCAGCAGUGGGGAAUAUUGGACAAUGGGCGCAAGCCUGAUCCAGCCAUGCCGCGUGAGUGAUGAAGGCCUUAGGGUUGUAAAGCUCUUUCAACGGUGAAGAUGAUGACGGUAGCCGUAGAAGAAGCCCCGGCUAACUUCGUGCCAGCCGCCGCCGUAACAC